rnacentral:lncRNA from 1 species
GAGUCGGAGAUGAGGUCCGGCUCCCGUAGGAGUCCGGACGGAGUCUGCCUGUAGCUGGAGUUGGAGACGAGAUUCGGCUCCCGUAGGAGUCCAGACGGAGUCGGCCUAUAGCUGGAGUUGGAGACGAGAUUCGGCUCCUGUAGGAGUCCGAUAGUUGUAGAAAUCUGCCAUUGGUGAAGUUCGGCUGUUGGUGAGGUCCGAGGUAGUUCGGGUUGGAGUUGAACCUGGCUAGAAGAAGUCUGGAAGGGAUUUGGAGAGCGGCCGACGGCCGUUGGAGGUCGGCUGGCGGCAGAGCUUAGUGAGCACUUGGGGCGGCUUGAUAGACGA